rnacentral:rRNA from 1 species
GACGAACGCUGGCGGCGUGCCUAACACAUGCAAGUCGAGCGGGGACAUGGAGAAGCUUGCUUCGAAAUGUUCUAGCGGCGGACGGGUGAGUAACGCGUGAGCAACCUUUCUCUCAGUGGGGAAUAACACAGGGAAACUUAGUACUAAUACCGCAUGAGACCACAGAACCGCAUGGUUUAGGGGUCGAAAGAUUUAUUGCUGAGAGGUGGGCUCGCGUCUGAUUAGGUAGUUGGUGAGGUAACGGCCCACCAAGCCGACGAUCAGUAGCCGACCUGAGAGGGUGAUCGGCCAUAUUGGGACUGAGACACGGCCCAA